GCGGGCCCUGGGUGCAAAGCAGGAGAUGUUUCAGUGACUGCGCGAUGAGGCCCAGGCUGUUUGACAGUGACACAUUCAAAGGCUGUUGCAUUUUCAAGGCACCCAGGAGGAAUCUGGCACUCACCAGGGAACUUCACCUCCUUCUACCUCCGUUUUUGUAGUACAGAGGUGAUGACUGAGGGGUUGGACUUGAUGAUCCCUGGAGGUCCCUUCCAACCCCUACAAUUCUGUGAUUCUGUGACUGGAGUGCCCCAGGCCUCCUGCCAGGGAAACAUGGUGCUGGUGAAAAUCAUUGCUGCUGGUUGCCGUCUGAACACAGCAUUUCUCUGUACAGUGGUAUCCACUACAGCCCAUGAGAUGUACAAGUUGUCUUCCCCGGGGAGACACCCUGCAGUUAAUGAGUGACAUCCAGGGCUCACGACAGCAAAGCACUGUUUAACUUGAGGUGAUUUGGGACGUCAUUCAAGACAUCUCUGGACCUGCACUGUCAGGCAUCAGGUUCUUGGUGGCUAAUGGGAUUUGCAAAAGAAAAUUGCUGUGCUUGCAGAAGCCUGAGUUUUCUGUAGCAUGUACAGUGCAGCUGAGGCCAGCACUGGUAAUUGGCCUUUCUCACAAUGACAAGGUGCUGUAGUUAUCUCUGCACGGUCUAAAUAAACAAUAUUAAAUGUUGACUUCUUAAAUGAA